UGUUGAUGUUGAUGUUGGUGCG
rnacentral:misc_RNA from 1 species